UACGAAGGGGGCUAGCGUUGCUCGGAAUCACUGGGCGUAAAGCGCACGUAGGCGGAUCUUUAAGUCAGGGGUGAAAUCCUGGAGCUCAACUCCAGAACUGCCUUUGAUACUGGGGAUCUCGAGUCCGGAAGAGGUGAGUGGAACUCCGAUUGUAGAGGUGAAAUUCGUAGAUAUUCGGAAGAACACCAGUGGCGAAGGCGGCUCACUGGUCCGGUACUGACGCUGAGGUGCGAAAGCGUGGGGAGCAAACAGG
rnacentral:rRNA from 1 species